rnacentral:tRNA from 1 species
CCUCCUUUAAAGAAACCGGAAUAAGGCGUGAAAGCGCCCGCACAAUUUGCCUAAUCACCGUUAGAUACACCGCGGGUCUGUAGCUCAGUAGGUUAGAGCGCACCCCUGAUAAGGGUGAGGUCGGAAGUUCAACUCUUCCCAGACCCACCACCUUCGCGCCUAUAGGGGCAACAAGGGAACAAGGGGCCAUAGCUCAGAUGGGAGAGCACCUGCUUUGCAAGCAGGGGGUCGGCGGUUCGAUCCCGCCUGGCUCCACCAGGGGGUUUAAACGGA